CCUACGGGAGGCUGCAGUGAGGAAUAUUGGUCAAUGGACGGAAGUCUGAACCAGCCAUGCCGCGUGCAGGAAGACGGCUCUCUGAGUUGUAAACUGCUUUUGUACAAGGGUAAACCUGAAUACGUGUAUUCAGCUGAAAGUCCUGUUAGAUUACGGCUCGGCGAACUCUGUGCCAGCAGCCGCGGUAAUACGGAGGAGCCAAGCGUUAUCCGGAUUUAUUGGGUUUAAAGGGUGCGUAGGCGGAUUGAUAAGUUAGAGGUGAAAUGUCCGGGCUUAACUCGGGAACUGCCUCUAAUACUGUUGAGCUAGAGAGUAGGUGCGGUAGGCGGAAUGUAUGGUGUAGCGGUGAAAUGCUUAGAGAUCAUACAGAACACCGAUUGCGAAGGCAGCUUACCAAUCUAUAUCUGACGUUGAGGCACGAAAGCGUGGGGAGCAAACAGGAUUAGAUACCCUUGUAGUC
rnacentral:rRNA from 1 species